AAUAGAUACCCCGGUAGUCCACGCCGUAAACGUUGGGCGCUAGAUGUGGGGACCAUUCCACGGUUUCCGUGUCGCAGCUAACGCAUUAAGCGCCCCGCCUGGGGAGUACGGCCGCAAGGCUAAAACUCAAAGGAAUUGACGGGGGCCCGCACAAGCGGCGGAGCAUGCGGAUUAAUUCGAUGCAACGCGAAGAACCUUACCAAGGCUUGACAUAUACGAGAACGCUCUAGAAAUAGAGAACUCUUUGGACACUCGUAUACAGGUGGUGCAUGGUUGUCGUCAGCUCGUGUCGUGAGAUGUUGGGUUAAGUCCCGCAACGAGCGCAACCCUCGUUCUAUGUUGCCAGCGGUUCGGCCGGGAACUCAUAGGAGACUGCCGGGGUCAACUCGGAGGAAGGUGGGGAUGACGUCAAAUCAUCAUGCCCCUUAUGUCUUGGGCUUCACGCAUGCUACAAUGGCCGGUACAAAGGGCUGCAAUCCGUAAGGUGGAGCGAAUCCCAAAAAGCCGGUCUCAGUUCGGAUUGAGGUCUGCAACUCGACCU
rnacentral:rRNA from 1 species